rnacentral:lncRNA from 1 species
UUGGUGACCAUAGAGUUAUUGGAGGACCCCGGUGACGCCUUGGAGGACCUCGAUGGUGAUCAUAGAGUGCUUGGAGGACCUUGUUGAGGCCUUGGAGGACCUCGAUUGUGAUCAUAGAGUGCUUGGAGGACCAUAGAGAUGCCAUGGAGGACCUCGAUGGCGAUCAUAGAGUUGUUGGAGGACCCCAGUGACACUUUGGAGGACCUCGAUGAUCAUAGAGUUGUUGGAGGACCCAAGUGAGGCCUUGGAGGACCCCAGUGAAACUUGGAGGACCUCAGCUGUGACCAUAGA